UUCCGAAUGGGGAAACCCAGUGUGUUUCGACACACUAUCAUUAACUGAAUCCAUAGGUUAAUGAGGCGAACCGGGGGAACUGAAACAUCUAAGUACCCCGAGGAAAAGAAAUCAACCGAGAUUCCCCCAGUAGCGGCGAGCGAACGGGGAGCAGCCCAGAGCCUGAAUCAGUAUGUGUGUUAGUGGAAGCGUCUGGAAAGGCGCGCGAUACAGGGUGACAGCCCCGUACACAAAAAUGCACAUGCUGUGAGCUCGAUGAGUAGGGCGGGACACGUGGUAUCCUGUCUGAAUAUGGGGGGACCAUCCUCCAAGGCUAAAUACUCCUGACUGACCGAUAGUGAACCAGUACCGUGAGGGAAAGGCGAAAAGAACCCCGGCGAGGGGAGUGAAAAAGAACCUGAAACCGUGUACGUACAAGCAGUGGGAGCACGCUUAGGCGUGUGACUGCGUACCUUUUGUAUAAUGGGUCAGCGACUUAUAUUCUGUAGCAAGGUUAACCGAAUAGGGGAGCCGAAGGGAAACCGAGUCUUAACUGGGCGUUAAGUUGCAGGGUAUAGACCCGAAACCCGGUGAUCUAGCCAUGGGCAGGUUGAAGGUUGGGUAACACUAACUGGAGGACCGAACCGACUAAUGUUGAAAAAUUAGCGGAUGACUUGUGGCUGGGGGUGAAAGGCCAAUCAAACCGGGAGAUAGCUGGUUCUCCCCGAAAGCUAUUUAGGUAGCGCCUCGUGAAUUCAUCUCCGGGGGUAGAGCACUGUUUCGGCAAGGGGGUCAUCCCGACUUACCAACCCGAUGCAAACUGCGAAUACCGGAGAAUGUUAUCACGGGAGACACACGGCGGGUGCUAACGUCCGUCGUGAAGAGGGAAACAACCCAGACCGCCAGCUAAGGUCCCAAAGUCAUGGUUAAGUGGGAAACGAUGUGGGAAGGCCCAGACAGCCAGGAUGUUGGCUUAGAAGCAGCCAUCAUUUAAAGAAAGCGUAAUAGCUCACUGGUCGAGUCGGCCUGCGCGGAAGAUGUAACGGGGCUAAACCAUGCACCGAAGCUGCGGCAGCGACGCUGAUGCGUUGUUGGGUAGGGGAGCGUUCUGUAAGCCUGCGAAGGUGUGCUGUGAGGCAUGCUGGAGGUAUCAGAAGUGCGAAUGCUGACAUAAGUAACGAUAAAGCGGGUGAAAAGCCCGCUCGCCGGAAGACCAAGGGUUCCUGUCCAACGUUAAUCGGGGCAGGGUGAGUCGACCCCUAAGGCGAGGCCGAAAGGCGUAGUCGAUGGGAAACAGGUUAAUAUUCCUGUACUUGGUGUUACUGCGAAGGGGGGACGGAGAAGGCUAUGUUGGCCGGGCGACGGUUGUCCCGGUUUAAGCGUGUAGGCUGGUUUUCCAGGCAAAUCCGGAAAAUCAAGGCUGAGGCGUGAUGACGAGGCACU
rnacentral:rRNA from 1 species